AGCAGCUUCAGAUUUUAAGAUUCUGCAGCAGCUUCAGAUUUAAAGAGUCUGAAGCAGCCUCAGAUUUAAAGAGUCUGCAGCAGCUUCAGAUUUUAAGAUUCUGCAGCAGCUUCAGAUUUUAAGAUUCUGCAGCAGCUUCAGAUUUAAAGAGUCGGAAGCAGCCUCAGAUUUAAAGAGUCUGAAGCAGCCUCAGAUUUAAAGAGUCUGCAGCAGCUUCAGAUUUUAAGAUUCUGCAGCAGCUUCAGAUUUAAAGAGUCGGAAGCAGCCUCAGAUUUAAACAGUCUGAAGCACAUUCAGAUUUAAAGAAGUGAACUUCUUUGCGUUUUAAUAUAUGUUAUUUUGAAGGCAUACAGAGAUGUAAUUGUUUUACUGAUCACUGGAAUUUUUGAGUGUCACAUCUCUUAUAAAUCCUAUGGCGCUGUUACCACCAACUCUCAGCAGACGUUCAUUUUUUCACUCUAACUGUGUGUGGCUGUUAGCGCCCUCUGUUUGUGAGUUAGACUCUUUUUACAAUGAGGCUGAUCUACAGAGAAAGAGCCCAUUGUUUCUCAAAUGACUGAAUAAUAAACAUAGACACAUUGUUUGCUCUGCAGCGCAGUUAGGGGAGCAUUUAACUCUUUGCAUGUGGUGAAUUUGACAGUGUCAUUUAAACUCCUUAUCACAGGUUGAGCUAAGGGUCUGAAUCAAUCCUUAUGUGAAUCAGACCCUCAGUAGAAACAGGUCAUCAGUGUCCACCUUGUCCGCUUUGUUGUCUUGUUGUUGGUGGUGAGGACUACAGGUCUGAUAUUGAUCCUAAAUCUUUGUAAAGAUCAACACUACAUGUAUGCUAAGCUCUGUUCUAAUCUUUAUUUUUUUAUAGAAACUUUAUUUUAACACUGUGAACACAUAAGAACUUACAACCUACAGCCGGAUGUUUGGCUUCUUUAAGUGUCUUUGGAUUUAGGACUUAGUGUGACGUGGACACUACAUACUUUGACCACAGGGGGUGCCAUAAUCCACAAUUACUGAUAGAUCAAGGGUUCCUUAUUUGAAAUUAUUUCAUGUUUGAUAUUAAAAUUAUUUGUUGGAAUAUUUUCGGGGGAAACUACUUUAGGGGUUAUAUAAUGUAUAACUCUACUUGGUCUAUAAUGUCACUAUGAAUGACAUCUGUAGGGUCAACAUCCAGGACCAACCAAAACUAAGAACGACAACCCCGAUUACCACGAUACAUGUAGCAUUUUGUUUUAGUGAAACACGACGGACAGACAGACAGACAGACAGACAGGCAGGCAGACACACAGAGAGGUAGAGAGACGGACAGACAGACAGACAGGCAGGCAGACACACAGAGAGAGAGACAGACAGACAGACAGACCGGCAGACAGACAGACAGACAGACAGACAGACAGACAGCUCUGAAGGAGUUGAGACAGGGAUGUAGUCCUCUCUCCUCAGUUAGAAAACAUUCUCGUCACUGUGAGUGCUAGUUUUAUUCUCUCGUCAUUAUUGGUCAAUGUUACUGGAUGUUAGAGGAACAGUACCACAAAUAUACACAUCCACUUUUUCAUAAAAGCUGAAAUAAAUGUUUAAAUAUGACCAGAACCUGCUCAAUCCUUCAUCUGAUUGCGUCCAGGGUCAGAGCCUGACAGGAGAGUCCUCCAGCCCUUAAUUUCUCUGUAUCUUCGGCCCUUUAUUUACUCAGUAUAUUCAGUAUCCGGCCCAUUAUUUACUCUGUAUCUUCAGUGUCUUUCCCAUUACCAUUAUUCACGCUCUAUCUUCAGGAUCAGGCCCAUUAUUUACUCUGUAUCUUCAUUACCUGGCCCAUUAUUUUCUUUGUAUCUUCAGUGUCCGUCCCAUUAUCAUUAUUGACUCUGUAUCUUCAUUACCCGGCCCAUUAUUUACUCUGUAUCUGAUGUAUCCAGCCCAUUAUUUACUCUGUAUCUUCAGUGUCCGUCCCUUUACCAUUAUUUACUUUGUAUAUUCAGUAUCCGGCUCAUUAUUUACUCUGUAUCUUCAUGUUUUUCAGUUGUAGCAUGUUCCAGGUGUCAUAUAAGAAAUCUACUGUACGUAUAAAACGUAACUAUUUGUUGUGGAAAUGGACAAUGUAUUUUUUCAUGAAUAAAAUAGUAUAUAUAUUGUUAUUUGUUUUAGCAGAGAUUUAUAAGUUGCCAAAUAUAAAGACAAAGUCAUUGAGAUAUAUUUUUGGGCACUUGUAAAGAUGUUGUGUUGUUAUAAACCCCGUCAGGAUGGAAAUGUUUGACUUGAUUGCAAUAAUGAACAAAUUAAAGUGAUGUUAAAAAAAUA